GAGGAGCUUGCUCUUCAAAUCGAGUGGCGAACGGGUGAGUAACGCGUGAGGAACCUGCCUCAAAGAGGGGGACAACAGUUGGAAACGACUGCUAAUACCGCAUAAGCCCACGGCUCGGCAUCGAGCAGAGGGAAAAGGAGCAAUCCGCUUUGAGAUGGCCUCGCGUCCGAUUAGCUAGUUGGUGAGGUAACGGCCCACCAAGGCGACGAUCGGUAGCCGGACUGAGAGGUUGAACGGCCACAUUGGGACUGAGACACGGCCCAGACUCCUACGGGAGGCAGCAGUGGGGAAUAUUGCACAAUGGGGGAAACCCUGAUGCAGCGACGCCGCGUGGAGGAAGAAGGUCUUCGGAUUGUAAACUCCUGUUGUUGAGGAAGAUAAUGACGGUACUCAACAAGGAAGUGACGGCUAACUACGUGCCAGCAGCCGCGGUAAAACGUAGGUCACAAGCGUUGUCCGGAAUUACUGGGUGUAAAGGGAGCGCAGGCGGGAGAACAAGUUGGAAGUGAAAUCCAUGGGCUCAACCCAUGAACUGCUUUCAAAACUGUUUUUCUUGAGUAGUGCAGAGGUAGGCGGAAUUCCCGGUGUAGCGGUGGAAUGCGUAGAUAUCGGGAGGAACACCAGUGGCGAAGGCGGCCUACUGGGCACCAACUGACGCUGAGGCUCGAAAGUGUGGGUAGCAAACAGGAUUAGAUACCCUGGUAGUCCACACCGUAAACGAUGAUUACUAGGUGUUGGAGGAUUGACCCCUUCAGUGCCGCAGUUAACACAAUAAGUAAUCCACCUGGGG
rnacentral:rRNA from 1 species